GGCUUCUUGGUGUAGUGGUGCUUGGGCUUCGCUGUGGUCUUGGCCUGGAAGCAAGGAGCCAUGACGAGGGCCACCGCAACCACCGCGAAAAGCACCGAGUGACAGCUGACGAUCGUCAUGGUUACCUGGGAUCUGUUCGGAGAGCACUUUAAAAACGCCUGACUCCUGAAAAAGGCCAGUAAGACACCAAAAGGUACGGACAACUCUGAAACACCAUCGUUGGUGCGUACGAAACCCUCUUCAAUCAUCUACGACACACUUGAACCCCGAUCUGAUGUUAUUUGAUAACCAAGAGCCCUUACCCUGUUUUGCGUGCCUGGUCCUUUCAUUUAUCCUUCUCUCUAGCAGUGGCUGGAGAUACGAGCAAGUGCCCCGUCUCUCGCUGAUGUCCCCGCCAGCGUCCGAGGGACAACGGCCACCCCCACCAAUCAGAGUAUCUGUCCGGGCAUGGGGGAGGUCUGAAACCCAACUACAUGCUAAUCUACGGCACACUGGAGCCAACCCAAGCAGAACCACUGUUCUGUGCCCUGUUCUCUGUAACCCUCUUGUGUAGAAAGGUGCUUUUGUGACAGGGGAUACAGCGCCGGCCAGAAGCGGUCCCCCACCCCCGAUGUGGGCCGGACCAGGACCAAAGGACGCGGGGCGGCGGGUCACAUGAUACGGGAGCUACUCCUCUGACAUCCCCCCCCCCCCCCCCCGCCCCCGCCCCGCUCCGGCUAGAGCUGGACAGGAGCCGAGCUGGACACCUUAACAGCCCUGCUGUGAUGGUGAACCCCGUUGUUCUCCACUCACCCUGUUAUGAGUGUUAAAGUACGACAUCCCAGCUGGCGCCCUGCGUUGUCUCCGGGCGCCGUCCGCGACGUCGGACCACAGCGUCUAUCCACCGCUGGAAACCACUUCAUUAAAAAGUCGACCUGUAAAUGAGAUGACUGCACCGGGAAACUCUAUCAUCGCCAUCUUCUUGGUGGACGUCCAAGAGAGAGCCUGAUAAUCUCCUCACUCAACAGUUGGUAAACCUGAGCUUUUGUGCAAAAAGGAAACAGCUUAUCUCCCUUUUCUCUGGUGCAGUGGAAGUGCCCGUCUGACCACUGGGGUUCACUGACUCCUUUGACGCCCUCAGAAACGGCGGCUAAAGUUGCCGUCGCAAACUAUAAAUGACACCGCGCUGAGGGAUCGGAGGGAUUCCGGUGCGUGGACGUGCGGGCUGCGUUGUCGGAGCAGGAAGUGGUCGAUAAGUAUGUCUAAGCAGUGCCACACUAGGGGGCAUGCCCGGGCCAUCAAAGACCUCCAGCCCCACGAGGGGUCCUCGGAUGGCUUGGAAGCAAACAGGAGCAGCAAAGUAAUGAAACAGAGGAUCAGUCGGAGGAGGUGGCCUGGGGAGGGGGGGAAGGGAGCUGGUUUUAUACUCUUUCUUUUUACUUUUAGGACUAUAUAUCCUACUGCUUUAGUCUUACUUUUAUACAACACUCUGGUGGAUGGAGUCCCUUUUUCAGCCACCUCUCCUUCAGAGUGAAUCAUCGUUUCCACGAAAUAUCAGAGCUCGUUGUAAUGUUGAGGAGAAAAAGUUGUCAGGCGGAAGGGGAUUAUAAUUUAAAUUAUAACAACAAAAGCAAGAUGAUAAUGAUUAAUCUAGGUUCAGGCACUUCAGUCGAUUUUCCAUUUAAAAGCCUUUUGUAGAUUGUUACAGUAAUAAAUCAUUUCACCAACACGUA